rnacentral:tRNA from 1 species
GCAGGGGUAGCCAAGCUUGGCCAACGGCGCAAGAUUGAGGGUCUUGUCCUUAGUUGUCCGAGGGUUCAAAUCCCUUCCCCUGCACCA